UCCGCAGUAGCUCAAUGGUAGAGCAGCUCGCUGUUAACGAGAAGGUUGCAGGUUCGAGUCCUGCCUGCGGAGCAA
rnacentral:tRNA from 1 species